rnacentral:rRNA from 1 species
UACGUAGGGAGCAAGCGCUGUCCGGAAUCAUUGGGCGUAAAGCGCGCGUAGGUGGCUCUGUAAGUCCGUUGUGAAAGUCAAAGGCUCAACCUUUGAAAGCUGAUGGAUACUGCAGAGCUAGAGUCCGGAAGAGGCGAGUGGAAUUCCUGGUGUAGCGGUGGAAUGCGCAGAUAUCAGGAGGAACACCAAUAGCGAAGGCAGCUCGCUGGGACGUACUGACACUAAGGCGCGAAAGCGUGGGGAGCGAACAGG